rfam:Desulfovibrio vulgaris subsp. vulgaris str. Hildenborough, complete genome.
GAACAAGUUACCAAGGGCAACAGGUGGAUGCCUUGGCGCUGGAAGGCGAAGAAAGACGUGGUAGGCUGCGAUAAGUCUCGGGGAGGAGCCAAACAUCCUUUGAUCCGGGAAUGUCUGAAUGGGGAAACCCGGCAGGAGUCAUGUCCUGUCACCCGCAACUGAACAAAUAGGUUGCAGGGAGCCAACCCGGGGAAGUGAAACAUCUCAGUACCCGGAGGAAAGGAAAUCAAACGAGACUCCCGAAGUAGCGGCGAGCGAACCGGGAUUAGCCCAAACCGGAUGGUUUCGACCAUCCGGGGUUGUAGGACCUCGAUGUGGGAUUGACUACUAGGCAGGAGAAGUGAGCUGGAAAGCUCCGCCAUAGCGAGUGAUAGCCUCGUAUCUGAAACCGAACGUCACCCUAGAGGCACCUGAGUACUGCGAGGCACGUGAAACCUCGUGGGAAUCUGGGAGGACCAUCUUCCAAGGCUAAGUACUAACCAGCGACCGAUAGUGCACUAGUACCGUGAGGGAAAGGUGAAAAGAACCCCUGUCAGGGGAGUGAAAUAGAAUCUGAAACCUGUUGCCUACAAGCUGUGGGAGCAUCCUUGAGAUGUGACCGCGUGCCUUUUGCAUAAUGAGUCAGCGAGUUACUCUGUCGUGCGAGGUUAAGCGAAAGUGGAGCCGUAGCGAAAGCGAGUCUGAUAAGGGCGAUAAGUACGACGGAGUAGACCCGAAACCGGGUGAUCUAUCCAUGAGCAGGUUGAAGCAAGGGUAAAGCCUUGUGGAGGACCGAACCAGUAACGGCUGAAAACGUUUUGGAUGACUUGUGGAUAGGGGUGAAAGGCCAAUCAAACUCGGUGAUAGCUGGUUCUCCCCGAAAUAUAUUGAGGUAUAGCCUCGGGAAAUUGUCUCGCGGAGGUAGAGCACUGACAGGGCUAGGGGUCCCACCAGAUUACCAAACCCUUUCAAACUCCGAAUGCCGCAGAGAUGUACCCCGGGAGUCAGACGGCGGGUGCGAAGGUCCGUCGUCAAAAGGGAAACAGCCCAGAUCGACAGCUAAGGCCUCCAAUUCCAUGCUCAGUGGGAAAGGUGGUGGAGUUGUUCAGACAGCCAGGACGUUGGCUUAGAAGCAGCCAUCGUUUAAAGAAAGCGUAAUAGCUCACUGGUCUAAUGACUCUGCGCCGAAAAUGUAACGGGGCUAAGCAUGGAGCCGAAGCUUCGGGAUCGUCUAGUACGAUCGGUAGGGGAGCGUUCUCUGUGGGCUGAAGGUUUGCCGGAAGGCACGCUGGACUGCAGAGAAGUGAUUAUGCUGACAUGAGUAACGAUAAAACAGGUGAGAAACCUGUUCGCCGUAAACCCAAGGUUUCCUGGGUAAAGGUAAUCUUCCCAGGGUUAGUCGGUCCCUAAGGCGAGGGCGAAAGCCGUAGUCGAUGGGAAACGGGUUAAUAUUCCCGUACCUGUGCGUUCGCGCGAUGGAGGGACGGAGAAGGAUAAGCGAGCCGGCUGUUGGCUUAGCCGGUGCAAGUGCGUAGGCUUGGGGGAGAGGCAAAUCCGCCCCCUUUAAGGCCGAGACACGAGUCCGUGACCGCAAGGUCUGAAGUCGCCGAGUCCAUGCUCCCUAGAAAAGCUCCUAAGUAUAGUGCGUACAGACCGUACCGGAAACCAACACAGGUGGGUGGGGUGAAUAACCCAAGGCGCUCGAGAGAACUCUGGCCAAGGAACUCGGCAAAAUGACCCCGUAACUUCGGAAGAAGGGGUGCUCUCUAAGGUGUAGGGUAUACAUCCAAAGCCUCGGAGAGCCGCAGUGAAAUGGUGGUGGCGACUGUUUACUAAAAACAUAGGUCUCUGCGAAGUCGCAAGACGACGUAUAGGGACUGACGCCUGCCCGGUGCCGGAAGGUUAAGAGGAGGGGUCAGCGCAAGCGAAGCUCCGAAUCGAAGCCCCGGUAAACGGCGGCCGUAACUAUAACGGUCCUAAGGUAGCGAAAUUCCUUGUCGGGUAAGUUCCGACCUGCACGAAUGGCGUAACGAUCUCCACACUGUCUCGGCCAGAGACUCGGUGAAAUUGAAGUCGCGGUGAAAAUGCCGUGUACCCGCAGAAAGACGGAAAGACCCUGUGCACCUUUACUAUAGCUUGACAUUGGGUUUUGGGCUUGCAUGUGUAGGAUAGGUGGGAGGCUGUGAACCCUGUACGCCAGUAUGGGGGGAGCCAUCCUUGAAAUACCACCCUUGCAAGUCUAAGGCUCUAAUCCCUACCCGUGAUCCGGGAGGGAGACAGUGUCUGGUGGGUAGUUUGACUGGGGCGGUCGCCUCCCAAAUUGUAACGGAGGCACGCAAAGGUUCCCUCAGCCUGAUUGGAAACCAGGCGUCGAGUGCAAACGCAUAAGGGAGCUUGACUGCAAGACAGACAUGUCGAGCAGGGACGAAAGUCGGCGUUAGUGAUCCGGUGGUUCCGCAUGGAAGGGCCAUCGCUCAUUGGAUAAAAGGUACGCCGGGGAUAACAGGCUGAUCGCGCCCAAGAGUUCAUAUCGACGGCGCGGUUUGGCACCUCGAUGUCGGCUCAUCACAUCCUGGGGCUGAAGCAGGUCCCAAGGGUACGGCUGUUCGCCGUUUAAAGUGGUACGCGAGCUGGGUUUAAAACGUCGUGAGACAGUUUGGUCCCUAUCUUCUGUGGGCGUAGGAGAAUUGAGAGGGCCUGUCCCUAGUACGAGAGGACCGGGAUGGACAUACCUCUGGUGGUCCUGUUGUCGCGCCAGCGGCAUAGCAGGGUAGCUAUGUGUGGAAGGGAUAACCGCUGAAAGCAUCUAAGCGGGAAGCCUGCCUCAAGAUAAGUUCUCCCCUCUUUUAGAGCUGAAGGGCCCAGGUAGACUACCUGGUCGAUAGGCUGGAGGUGGAAGUGCGGCGACGCAUGGAGCUGACCAGUACUAAUAGCCCGAGCGCCUUGUUUUC